GAAAAGCUACAGAGAACAGACAGCAGGACGUGACCAGACUUGCUGAGAGAGGAACACGAGGAGUUCGGUCUGAAGAACACGGAACACAGCGCGACUCUGGAAAUGUCACAUACUGUGAUUAAAGCUCAGAGUGACACUGAAUCUGUGGCUGAAGGAUCGAGCGACGGAGGGUCAUUCAUUUACUUUGAAAGACUCCAAACUCUGAGUCAGGAUAUUUAUACUGGAACAGGGAUUUACCACAAACCACAAAUCCCUGAACAACACGACGGGGUGGAUUCAGGGUCUGAGACGAGGAACAGGAGUCAAACUGAAGAGUGUAAAAUGGUGAAACCAGGCAUGUUCAGCUGCUCGCACACACAGGCGGUGAGAAAGUGCCAAGAACCAGCAUCAGUCCAUCUG